CGCCAUCCUUUACCUAAAUGGGGACUUCGAUGGCGGAAACUUUUAUUUCACUGAACUGGAUGCCAAGACCGUGACGGCAGAGGUGCAGCCUCAGUGUGGAAGAGCCGUGGGAUUCUCUUCAGGCACUGAAAACCCACAUGGAGUGAAGGCUGUCACCAGGGGGCAGCGCUGUGCCAUCGCCCUGUGGUUCACCCUGGACCCUCGACACAGCGAGCGGGUGAGAGCAGCUCGAGCGGGACAGGGUGCAGGCAGAUGACCUGGUGAAGAUGCUCUUCAGCCCAGAAGAGAUGGACCUCUCCCAGGAGCAGCCCCUGGAUGCCCAGCAGGGCCCCCCCGAACCUGCACAAGAGUCUCUCUCAGGCAGUGAAUCGAAGCCCAAGGAUGAGCUAUGACAGCGUCCAGGUCAGACGGAUGGGUGACUAGACCCAUGGAGAGGAACUCUUCUGCACUCUGAGCUGGCCAGCCCCUCGGGGCUGCAGAGCAGUGAGCCUACAUCUGCCACUCAGCCGAGGGGACCCUGCUCACAGCCUUCUACAUGGUGCUACUGCUCUUGGAGUGGACAUGACCAGACACCGCACCCC
rnacentral:lncRNA from 1 species